rnacentral:rRNA from 1 species
UCAACUUUCGAUGGUAGGAUAGAGGCCUACCAUGGUGGUAACGGGUAACGGGGUGUUAGGGCACGACACCGGAGAGGGAGCCUGAGAAACGGCUACCACAUCCAAGGAUGGCAGCAGGCGCGCAAAUUACCCAAUCCCGACACGGGGAGGUAGUGACAAUAAAUAACAAUACGGGGUUCUUUCGGAUCUCGUAAUUGGAAUGAGUACAAUUUAAAUCUCUUAACGAGGAACAAUUGGAGGGCAAGUCUGGUGCCAGCAGCCGCGGUAAUUCCAGCUCCAAUAGCGUAUAUUAAAGUUGUUGCAGUCAAAAAGCUCGUAGUUGAAUUUCGGGAUCAAUAUGUUGGUCGUGCCUUGGUACGUACUGGCAUUAUUGGUUUCUACCUUCUGAAGAACCUCGAUGUCAUUAAUUUGGUGUCUUGGGAAAUCAGGACUGUUACUUUGAAAAAAUUAGAGUGUUUAAAGCAAGCUCGCGCUUGAAUACAUUAGCAUGGAAUAAUGAAAUAGGACGUUUGAUUCUAUUUUGUUGGUUUCUAGGAUCGACGUAAUGAUUAAUAGGGAUAGUUGGGGGCAUUAGUAUUCAAUUGUCAGAGGUGAAAUUCUUGGAUUUAUUGAAGACUAACUACUGCGAAAGCAUUUGCCAAGGAUGUUUUCAUUAAUCAAGAACGAAAGUUAGGGGAUCGAAGACGAUCAGAUACCGUCGUAGUCUUAACCAUAAACUAUGCCGACUAGGGAUCGGAUGAUGUUAAUUUUUUAAUGACUCAUUCGGCGCCUUACGGGAAACCAAAGUGUUUGGGUUC